GAUGGACGUUGGCGGUGUGCCUAAUACAUGCAAGUCGAACGGAGUUAAUGGCAAUAUUGACUUAGUGGCGAACGGGUGAGUAACGCGUUGGUGAUCUGCCUUGAAGUGUGGAAUAACGCUCCGAAAGGAGCGCUAAUACCGCAUGUGCUCUCAAUUUUUAGAAACUUGAGAGGAAAGGAUUUAUUCGCUUCGAGAGGAGCCUGCGUCCCAUCAGCUGGUUGGUAGGGUAAAGGCCUACCAAGGCAAUGACGGGUAGGGGACCUGAGAGGGUGGCCCCCCACAAUGGAACUGAAACACGGUCCAUACACCUACGGGUGGCAGCAGUAGGGAAUAUUAGAAAUGGACGAAAGUCUGAUCUAGCAACACCGCGUGUGCGAAGAAGGCCUUCGGGUCGUAAAGCACUUUUUGGAAGGAAUAGGAAGGAAUGUACUUCAGAAUAAGUCUCGGCUAACUACGU
rnacentral:rRNA from 1 species